rnacentral:misc_RNA from 1 species
UGUGGGAGCGGGCUUGCUCGCGAAGGCGUCGGCUCAGUCACCAUUGAUGUGGCUGACGCACCGCCUUCGCGAGCAAGCCCGCUCCCACA